UCAAAGAGGAAGGGUGGGGGCCAGGAAGGGAAACUCCAUGAGACCUAGAGGGAAGGAGGACCUUUUGUGCGACAGUGCUGCCACAUGUGGGGUGUGAGCUGUAGCCAUCACUCCUACCAGCAUCUGGGAAGCAACACACUCAAUGUGUAAAAUACUAGAAAGGAGUCGGAUUCGUCAAAAGUUGGUGGCCAGCUGCAUUGUGGUGGUAAGAGGAAGUGGGCGAUUAAGAAAAUUCUGGAGACCACUGUUGUGCACUUCUCUUGGGGAAGUUGUUUCUUUUUCAGAAAUGGAGAGGAAAUAUUUUGCCAGAGCAAUUUGAGGUGCCAUUCAGAAGUGGGUGCCAUUUAGAAGAUGUCAUUCAGAAGGGGGAAACUCUGGUAGCCCAAAAAUGACAGAUGUCCACAUGGACUUCCUUCUCUCUCAAUCCAUGAUUCUGUGCUUGGCUUAAGAAAAUCCAAAUCUCAUAACCCUGUGAAAAUUGCACACUUUCUCUGUCUUGCAGCUUUGCCUGCCAUCCUGACUCCUUGCCUUCACCUGCCCUCAGAAGCCUCCAUCUGUAGACACUCUUGUCCACACCAUUCCCUGCAGAUUACAUCACUUAGGAGAAUUCUGUGGAUGCAGUUGAUUGUAUUCAUUCACUUUUUUACUGUCCCCUUCCCUACAAGAGGGUUAUAUGCCCCAGCCUGUGUAGCCGAAAAGCCAACCUCCCAUUCCCUGCGUAUACCAUGUUCUCAUUCUCACACUAAGUUUUCCACAUUCAUUUACUGUUCUUUUCAGCUCUUUUUUCUUAUUCAUCCUGGAGCUUUGGUUCAUGAUAUUCUAAUCACUAUCUCACGAAUUUAAUUUUCCAUCUUGCCCUGUGCUAGAUGCAUUUCUAGGUGUUUUAUGCUCCAAACACAGUUUAUCAUCAGUGCCUCCAUGGCACUCCAAAGUUGGAUUAUUAAGUCCACUCUGUAGAUGCCAGACUGAGGUGCAGGGGGUUAGGUAAUUUGCUCAAGUUUACAAAGCUAGUAAUUGGUGGAGCCAGAAUUUAAAGUCACUCUUGCUCCCAGUUGCCUACAAAAAAUCUUCAUUACAUUGCAUUGCCAGAAAACACUAAAGAGUAAAUUAUUUUUACUAUUCUAGUGGAAAUACUUCUAAAAUAUUCUACAUACUUCUCUGCCAUUUCAAUUAGAUCAUAUUGAACAUAAGUUAACCUCUUCAGGACUAGUUAAUAUCAUAGCUAUUAUAAAUGUUAUAGUGGUAUAGAAGCAUUUGAAUCUACAAAGUGACUUACUGGCUGCAUAAACUUAGGCAACUAACAGCCUCUCUGAGGUUCAGCUGCCUCAUCUGCACAGUGAAGUUAGUCAUAUACUCACAAAAGAUAACAUAAAAUGCCAUGAAUGAAUCAGGCACAGAGGAAGGAUGCACUAGGUGGUUAUUAUUAUUAGAUUAUUGGAUUAUUGAGGAUACUCUUUAACUUGGCUGCCUGAAGACCAUUUAGACUUACUUCCUCAGUGCUUAGAACUACUGCCAAGAACAUCAAACAAGUUUAAGUGAUAAACUGAUAUUUGCACUCCUGCGGCCUAUCUCUGGACUAGAUUGUGUCUUGUUGGAGUUC
rnacentral:lncRNA from 1 species